AAUCGCCGGAACCACCUACAUGACACGCUAAAAUCACCAGCCGGCUAUGACAGAACCACUUGGCGAUCACUCCGGAAUCACCUGCCGGGCAUGCCGGAACCACCUCUCAGACAUGCCAGAACCACAUGCCAAUGACACCGGAAGGACCUGCCGAACACGCAGGAACCACCUGCUCGACUCGCCACAACCACCUGCUGGACACGCCAAAAUCACCUGCCGGGUACACCAGAACCACUCGGCGGACACUCCGGAAUCACCUGUCGGGCAUGCCGGAGCCACAUCUCAGAGGUCCCAGAACCACAUCCCGGACACUCCAGAAUCACCAGUCGGGCAUGCCGGAACCACCUCUCAGACUUGCCAGAACCAUGUUCCGGACAUGCCGGUACCACCUGCCGAGUAUGCCAGAACCACCUUAUCCACUCCCCAGAACCACCUGCUGGACAUGCCCAAAUCACGUGCCGGCUACGCCAGAACCACUCGUCAGACACUCCACAACCACCUCUAGGACAGACCGGAACCACCUGCCGGACACGCCAAAAUCACCUGCCCGCUACACCAGAAACACUUGGUGGACAAGCUGGAAUCACGUGAAGGGCAUGCCGACACAACCUCUCAGACGUGCCAGAAACUCGUGCGGGACACCCCAGAACCAUCUGACGGACAGACCAGAACCACCAGCCGGACACGCUGGAACCACCGGCUCAAGUUGCCGGAACCACCGCGGGAUAUGCAAAAUCACCUGCUGGCUACGCCAGAACCAUUUGGCGAACACUCCGGAAUCACAUGCUGGGCAUGCCGGAACCACCUCUCAGACAUGCCAGAACCACAUGCCAAUGACACCGGAAGCACCUGCCGAGCACGCCGGAAACACCUGCUCGACUCGCUGGAACCACCUGCCGGACAGGCCAAUAUCAACUGCUGGCUAUGCCAGAACCACCUGGAGGACAGUCCAGAAUCACCUGCCAGCCAUGGCGGAACCACCACUCAGACGUACCAGAACCCCGUGCCAGACAAGCCGGAAGCACCAGCUGAUCAUGCCUGAGCCACCUGCACGACUCGCAAGAAAC
rnacentral:lncRNA from 1 species